rnacentral:rRNA from 1 species
UACGUAGGGGGCAAGCGUUGUCCGGAUUUAUUGGGCGUAAAGAGCGUGUAGGCGGCCUGAAAGGUCAGCUGUGAAAACUCGAGGCUUAACCUCGAGACGUCGGUUGAAACCAUCUGGCUAGAGUCCGGAAGAGGAGUGUGGAAUUCCCGGUGUAGCGGUGAAAUGCGUAGAGAUCCGGAGGAACACCAGUGGCGAAGGCGACACGCUGGGCCGUACCUGACGCUAAAGCGCGACAGCAUGGGGAGCAAACGGG